rnacentral:rRNA from 1 species
GCCUCUUGACAAAACAUAAGAGGUCCAGCCUGCCCAGUGACAAAGUUUAACGGCCGCGGUACCCUAACCGUGCGAAGGUAGCAUAAUCACUUGUUCUUUAAAUGGGGACUCGUAUCAACGGCACUACGAGGGCUAUACUGUCUCCUUUUUCUAAUCAGUGAAACUGAUCUCCCCGUGAAGAAGCGGGGAUUAAAAUAUAAGACGAGAAGACCCCAUGGAGCUUUAAACUCACCAUGCACCUCUGUGCCCCCCAUAUCCUUAAACACAACGGACCUGCAUGCUAGUUUUAGGUUGGGGUGACCACGGAGUACAACUUAACCUCCACAGCAAAUGGGCUAAUACCCUUAUCCACGAGACACAACUCUAAGAAUUAUUAUACUAAUGCUUAUUGACCCGAUAUUCGAUCAAUGAACCAAGUUACCCUGGGGAUAACAGCGCAAUCUACUUCAAGAGCCCAUAUCGACAAGUAGGUUUACGACCUCGAUGUUGGAUCAGGGUAUCCCGGUGGUGCAGCCGCUACCAAUGGUUUGUUUGUUCAACGAUUAAAACCCUACGUG